rnacentral:rRNA from 1 species
CCGGUCCCAUGCCGAACCCGGCAGUUAAGCUCCCCAUCGCCGAAAGUACUGCGGUGCAGUCCGUGGGAGGAUAGGCCGUUCCGCUCA